rnacentral:pre_miRNA from 1 species
AGUGGGAUAACUGGGUUAAAUGGUGUGGUUCCAUUCCAAGUUUUCUAAGGAAUCUCCGGGCUGUUUUUCCAGAGUGGCUGCACCAAUGUGCAGUCCCACCAGCAAU